AUUGAACGCUGGCGGCAGGCCUAACACAUGCAAGUCGAGCGAGCGGCGGACGGGUGAGUAAUGUAUGGGGACUGCCCGAUAGAGGGGGAUAACUACUGGAAACGGUGGCUAAUACCGCAUACUAUCGGAUAACCCAUAUGGGAUUAGCUAGUAGGUGGGGUAAAGGCUCACCUAGGCGACGAUCUCUAGCUGGUCUGAGAGGAUGAUGAGCCACAAUGUGACUGAGACACGGCCCAGACUCCUACGGAGGCAGCAGUGGGGAAUAUUUGACAAUGGGCGCAAUGCUGAUGCAGCCCAUCCGCGUGUAUUAAGGAGGGCUUUGGGUUUUAAAGGAAUUUCAGCGGGGAAGCGUUACCCGCAGAAGAAGCACCGGCUAACUCCGUGCCAGCAGCCGCGGUAAUUC
rnacentral:rRNA from 1 species